ACUCCUACGGGAGGCAGCAGUGGGGAAUCUUGGACAAUGGGGCGAACCCUCGAUCCAGCCAUGCCGCGUGAGUGAUGAAGGCCUUAGGGUCGUAAAGCUCUUUCGCCUGUGAUGAUAAUGACAGUAGCAGGUAAAGAAACCCGCGUAUCAUCCGUGCCAGCAGCCGCGGUAAUACGGAGGGGGUUAGCGUUGUUCGGAAUUACUGGGCGUAAAGCGCGCGUAGCGGAUUAGUCAGUUAGAGGUGAAAUCCCAGGGCUCAACCUGGAACUGCCUUUAAUACUGCUAGUCUUGAGUUCGAGAGAGGUGAGUGGAAUUCCGAGUGUAGAGGUGAAAUUCGUAGAUAUUCGGAGGAACACCAGUGGCGAAGGCGGCUCACUGGCUCGAUACUGACGCUGAGGUGCGAAAGUGUGGGGAGCAAACAGGAUUAGAUACCCUGGUAGGCUCUGCU
rnacentral:rRNA from 1 species